GGGGCUGUGGCUCAGUGAUGAAGCAUCUGCUUGGCAUGCAGAAAGUUUGAGGUUAAAUCCCCAAUAUCUCCA
rnacentral:tRNA from 1 species